GACGAACGCUGGCGGCGUGCCUAAUACAUGCAAGUAGAACGCUGAAGCUUGGUGCUUGCACCGAGCGGAUGAGUUGCGAACGGGUGAGUAACGCGUAGGUAACCUGCCUGGUAGCGGGGGAUAACUAUUGGAAACGAUAGCUAAUACCGCAUAAAAUGGAUUAUCGCAUGAUAAUUCAUUGAAAGGUGCAAAUGCAUCACUACCAGAUGGACCUGCGUUGUAUUAGCUAGUUGGUGGGGUAACGGCUCACCAAGGCGACGAUACAUAGCCGACCUGAGAGGGUGAUCGGCCACACUGGGACUGAGACACGGCCCAGACUCCUACGGGAGGCAGCAGUAGGGAAUCUUCGGCAAUGGACGGAAGUCUGACCGAGCAACGCCGCGUGAGUGAAGAAGGUUUUCGGAUCGUAAAGCUCUGUUGUAAGAGAAGAACGAGUGUGAGAGUGGAAAGUUUCACACUGUGAC
rnacentral:rRNA from 1 species